CUCUGGCUUCAGCUUAUCUACCCACGACUGCUGCUGCUUGUCCCGUGACCACCCGCUCACAGACCCGUAUCGAGGACGAUCCUCCAGCAGAACGGGAGACCCAGGUAAGCCACAAACAGACACUCAGCCCUAACACGGUAGAAAGACCCAUAGCUUGGGACACCCCAGAAGAGUUUGGGAGGGAAACUAGACAGGACCCCACCCUCCAAAAGUAUCGGGAAUUAGCCGACAGUGGGGGGGAUGAGCGGGAGCGUUUUAUAUGGGAGGGUGACAGAUUAUACAGGUUGACCCAAGGUAGGAGGAGAGGCUGUAUCCCUUUGUAGAAGCGCCAACUAGUGGUACCCAGAAAGUACCGGUUGGAACUUCUCCGAAUUGGACAUGACAUUCCGUUGGCAGGGCACUUAGGGGGUAACUGCACUGCCUACAGGAUCACACAGACCUUUUUCUGGCCUGGGAUCUCGAAGGACGUGCAGCAUUACUGCAGUACCUGUGACACAUGCCAACGAGUAGGGAAGAGAGGGGACCACCCUAAAGCUCGACUGUCACCCAUGCCUGUGAUCGAGGAACCGUUUAGCCGGGUGGCAGUCGACCUAGUGGGAUCCCUACCUAACCCCAGUCCCUCGGGUAAGAAGUAUAUUCUUACAGUAGUGGACUAUGCUACCCGCUACCCAGAG